rnacentral:rRNA from 1 species
CACGGAGUUAGCCGGGGCUUAUUCUCCCGAUACUGUCAUUAUCAUCUCGGGUAAAAGAGCUUUACAACCCUAAGGCCUUCAUCGCUCACGCGGCAUUGCUGGAUCAGGGUUUCCCCCAUUGUCCAAUAUUCCCUACUGCUGCCUCCCGUAGGAGUCUGGGCCGUGUCUCAGUCCCAGUGUGGCUGAUCAUCCUCUCAGACCAGCUAAGGAUCGUCGCCUUGGUGGGCCUUUACCCCACCAACUAGCUAAUCCUACGCGGGCUCAUCCUUGGGCGAUAAAUCUUUGGACUUACGUCAUCAUCCGGUAUUAGCUUCAGUUUCCCGAAGUUAUUCCGAACCCAAGGGCAGAUUCCCACGCGUUACGCACCCGUGCGCCACUAACACCGAAGUGUUCGUUCGACUUGCAUGUAUUAGGCAUGCCGCCAGCGUUCGUUCUGAGCCAGGAUCAAACUC